rnacentral:tRNA from 1 species
GGGGAUGUAGCUCAGUGGUAGAGCACAUGCUUUGCGUGUAUGACGCCUAGGUUCAGUUCCCAGCAUCUCCA